rnacentral:lncRNA from 10 species
ACUUCUGGCUGGGUGUACCGACUGCAUUUUCCUGAUAACUUAAGCUGCUGGCUGGUGAGACAAUCAAAUUCUCCCCACUGAGUGACUUCAUCUACAAGACACAGGAGUAACCACCAGCGAGAGAAGUUCAGUUGUGAAAGGGAAGCAAAGGAAGAUGCUGGGUCCUUAGCGAGGGUGCACAGCCCCUUCCUCCAUUGUUAGCUCUCCAUUCCGUUUUGCCUGAUGCAAGGCACACUUUGUUCCAUAUAUUUAGAUUCCAUAGUUUUCUGAUAAUGGGGACUGAGUAUUUUAAAUACACUUCAGGGGUGGGCGGGGUGGCUCAUGCGUGUAAUCCCGGCACUUUGGGAGGCCAAGGUGGGCGAUUACCUGAGGUCAGGAGUUCGAGACCAGCUUGGCCAACAUGGUGAAACUCUGUCUCUACUAAAAAUACAAAAAUUGGCUGGAUGUGGUGGCUCACACCUGUAGUCCCACCUCCUCGGGAGGCUGAGGCAGGAGAAUUGCUUGAACCCAGGAGGCGGAGGCUGCAGUGAGCCGAGAUCGUGCCACUGCACUCCAGCCAGGGUGACAGAGUGAGACACUGUCUCAAUAAAUACAUAUUUAAAAAUUAAUAAAAAUAAAAAUGAACACACUUUUUAGGUGACUUCUGCAUAUUUAAGUUUCAAACUACUUUUAGAGCAAGCCCAGGAGAGUUUCCUGUUCUUUUGAACAUGAAGAAAGAACCAAGGGCUACAGAAAGCCUCCUUACAGAACCCGAGUCUCAUUAGCUUGUUCUCAUUCAACAAACGCUUAUCCAUCCCUCGUUGCAUGCAAGGCGCUCUGCCCAGCCAAGUAUGUGACUGCAGGCUGACGGGUGGUGAUCGGGAAAGCUGCCCGAAUGAGUAAGAUUCUGACGCUUGUUUGGAGUAGUUUAUCCUCUGUCUACCACCUCCAGAUCACCACAUCUCCAUGACUGGACCCAAAUGAAGUUAUUUCAUAUUUCCAAAAAUAGUUUCAGUUAUUAACACCUUCAGGAGAAUUCAGGGGCUCAUGGUAGAAAUGAAUGAAUCAUGUACAUAACUGAGAAGUAUUUAUACAGAAAGAGUUUUGGUUUUCUGGAAAGGGUAAUUUCAGAUAUUUAGAAGUAAGAGCCAUUACAAUGUUGGUUUUACAAGCCACUGGGCUUUAUAGCAACAUCAGAGUCCUGGUGGGUCAGGAGAAAAGGAGACAGCACUCGUCAGUAGCAGACAAGAGCAACUUAGCAUUCCAUAUAAUCUUGGAGAGAGCUGGUCUAAGUGCCUCAGAUCUAUAGCCAGUUGCCUUGGAAUCUCUGCUGAGUACUUCAUCAAGCACCUGCUGUUUGAAGAGGGAAUAAGCCAGAAUAAAAUUCUCGCUCUUCAGCAGCUAAAAUCCGCUAAGAAGGAACCAUCCGUGCUCUGCCUGUGCUGUGCGUCGUGGAGAGUAACCUGACCCCUCUAUCCUCAUGCCAACCUCACACUCUACCUUAAAGAAGUCCAACUCAUAUUUUAUGAUUCGCCGUGCAAAUCAUCUUCUUCAGGAAGCUUUUCCUGAGUCCCUACAAUUAAACUUGGUGCCCGUUUGCCUAGAUAGGACUGUUCUCCAAAUGUCUCAUGCUCCCCUUCAUUUCCUGCACCCAGCACAAUCUGGAAACCUUAUCACUAGUUCCCAAGAAAGGGCUAUGAACAGAAGGGACACCUGCUGAAGCCAAAGCAUCUAUUUUUUGAUGUGAGUGUUGUCCUAAUUGCCUAGGAUAGUUGCCCAGAAUCAGAGUGGACUAGCAUGAGUGAGAGAUCAGUUCCAGUUGCAUAAACCACGGAGACUUUGUUCAUCACUUAAGGAUAAGUGAUGAUCCUAAUACUUGAUCCUAAUAGUGGUACAGUGAUAAAUGAAUAAAUAGCCCUAAGAUACAGGGCACUGAAAUAGUGGCUGGGCCAGGGAUGAAGGAAACUAGUAAGCAAGCUGGGAGAAUGAUAUUUAGCAGUGA